rnacentral:rRNA from 1 species
AUUGAACGCUAGCGGGAUGCCUUACACAUGCAAGUCGAACGGAGUGGCGAACGGAUGAGUAAUGUAUCGGAACGUGCCCAGUCGCGGGGGAUAACUACGCGAAAGCGUAGCUAAUACCGCAUACUGUUGGAGCGGCCGAUCUCGGUUUAGCUAGUUGGUGGGGUAACGGGUCACCAAGGUGACGAUCCGUAGCUGGUUUGAGAGGACGACCAGCCACACUGGGACGGAGACACGGCCCAGACCCCUACGGGAGGCAGCAGUGGGGAAUUUUGGACAAUGGGGGAAACCCUGAUCCAGCCAUCCCGCGUGUGCGAUGAAGGCCUUCGGGUUGUAAAGCACUUGUGGCAGGAAAGCGGUACCUGCAGAAUAAGCACCGGCUAACUACGUGCCAGAAGCCGCGGUAAUUC